UACGUAGGGUGCAAGCGUUAAUCGGAAUUACUGGGCGUAAAGCGUGCGCAGGCGGUUUUGUAAGUCUGACGUGAAAUCCCCGGGCUCAACUUGGGAAUUGCGUUGGAGACUGCAAGGCUAGAAUCUGGCAGAGGGGGGUAGAAUUCCACGUGUAGCAGUGAAAUGCGUAGAGAUGUGGAGGAACACCGAUGGCGAAGGCAGCCCCCUGGGUCAAGACUGACGCUCAUGCA
rnacentral:rRNA from 1 species